UAAUUUCUCAAAGAUUCCAUGCCGUCAUAGGCAUUCGGCGGCGAUUUCUCCGAAUGUUUGUUACCAUUCGCAUUCAGAUGGAGGAGUUCAUUUGUGUGACUGGAAGGCGGCAGAUUGAUCGAAAUCGGAACUUUCGAGAUAGUUACAGG